rnacentral:rRNA from 1 species
GGGGGAUAUUGCGCAAUGGGGGCAACCCUGACGCAGCAACGCCGCGUGAAGGAUGAAGGUUUUCGGAUUGUAAACUUCUUUUAUUAAGGACGAAAAUUGACGGUACUUAAUGAAUAAGCUCCGGCUAACUACGUGCCAGCAGCCGCGGUAAUACGUAGGGAGCAAGCGUUGUCCGGAUUUACUGGGUGUAAAGGGUGCGUAGGCGGCUUUGCAAGUCAGAUGUGAAAUCUAUGGGCUCAACCCAUAAACUGCAUUUGAAACUGUAGAGCUUGAGUGAAGUAGAGGCAGGCGGAAUUCCCUGUGUAGCGGUGAAAUGCGUAGAGAUGGGGAGGAACACCAGUGGCGAAGGCGGCCUGCUGGGCUUUAACUGACGCUGAGGCACGAAAGCGUGGGUAGCAAACAGGAUUAGAUACCCUGGUAGUCCACGCUGUAAACGAUGAAUACUAGGUGUGGGGGGACUGACCCCCUCCGUGCCGCAGUUAACACAAUAAGUAUUCCACCUGGGGAGUACGAUCGCAAGAUUGAAACUCAAAGGAAUUGACGGGGGCCCGCACAAGCAGUGGAUUAUGUGGUUUAAUUCGACGCAACGCGAAGAACCUUACCGGGAUUUGACAUCCUACUAACGAAGCAGAGAUGCAUUAGGUGCCCUUCGGGGAAAGUAGAGACAGGUGGUGCAUGGUUGUCGUCAGCUCGUGUCGUGAGAUGUUGGGUUAAGUCCCGCAACGAGCGCAACCCCUAUUGUUAGUUGCUACGCAAGAGCACUCUAGCGAGACUGCCGUUGACAAAACGGAGGAAGGCGGGGACGACGUCAAAUCAUCAUGCCCCUUAUGUCCCGGGCUACACACGUAAUACAAUGGCGGUCAACAGAGGGAAGCAAAGCCGCGAGGCAGAGCAAAUCCCCAAAAGCCGUCUCAGUUCGGAUUGCAGGCUGCAACUCGCCUGCAUGAAGUUGGAAUUGCUAGUAAUCGCGGAUCAGCAUGCCGCGGUGAAUACGUUCCCG